rnacentral:lncRNA from 1 species
GAAGAGCCAAUAUGCAUACUGCCCUGUUUGAAUGGUGGGCGCUGUGUGGCCCCUUAUCAGUGUGACUGCCCCACAGGCUGGACUGGGUCCCGCUGUCAUACAGCUACUUGUCAGUCCCCCUGCUUAAAUGGCGGGAAAUGCAUAAGACCAAACCGAUGCCAUUGUCUCUCAGCCUGGACAGGACAUGAUUGCUCCAGGAAAAGGAGAGGCGGGCUU